ensembl:lncRNA
GAGGAGAGCAAGUCUCUGAAGAGAAACUAAUAGCUUUACAACAUAAACGCCCCUUUCCUUUUAUUUGACAUGAACUAACUUUUUAGCUCUGGUUUUAUGUGGAGCAUCAACUCUUUGCAAACAUUGCCAUCUAGUGUCAAACUUUAGGUAAUGCCGUGCAGAAAAUAUGGUUAUUACACAUUCACCAAACCUUUCUGCUGUACUUAAACAGAUGUAAACACAUGCAGAUAAAUACAAUGAUUUACUAUUUCUGAAGCCCUCAGAGAUUAAACAUUAAAACAUAAACAGUGGAGCAUUGAGAAGCGGGUAAACAUUUUUUGGAGUCAACAGUUUUUCCUAAAAUGUGAAACAAGUUGAGUUUUUUUUUUUUUUCAUUUUUAUUUUGUAAAAUCUGGUCCAAUAAACAGAUGACAGUUUCUUCAGUCUGUGAAUCAACAGGUGCGUCCCGCCUACCAACAAGUCCUCGGAAACACGUGAAUAAAGUGAACAGCAGGGGGCGCUCUAAAGCAACGACUGACGAAAGACGGAGCGCAAGAAUGAAGUAUUGCAACUAAAAGAAGCGCAGAGAGAAAUUUCCGUUCCUAACAAUAUCAGAGUAAUUUCUUUUUUUACUAAAUGCAUAAAUAAAAUAAAAUGAAUCAUUUUGUGUGAAGGAUUGAAAAAAAUGAGCUUCACGUUUGGAGACACCGCUCGGUCACACAUAUGCAGCAGCACAGCAGUGAUAAAAUGAUCAUAAAGCAGCAUUAAGUGUUUUAUGAUCCUAAAGAAAUAAAUGAAAAUAAAGACGCGUGCACCACAGAGCUUUAAUAAAGCGAGUCGUUAGGAACAGGUACGUUUUCUUCACGCUGCUGCUCUGAGUGCACACCGCUCGCGCGUGCACGUGCGUUCAGAUGCGUGUGCGCGCAGGCGGAGGAUCGCCGCGGAGCCGUACCGUGUAGCAGGCACAAGCCGCUGGGCGCGCAGGAGAAGCCGCAAAAAAAUCCAGCAGCCGCUGCUUGAAGCUGCCAGGAGCGCAGAGAACGUGUCGGAACUUCAGUGCACACGAGGCCAGUGAUACAAAAUGGGAGGCAAGCUCAGCAAAAAGAAGAAGGGGUACAGUGUAAACGAUGACAAGGCUAAAGACAAGGAUGCCAAAGCAGAGGGGGCCUCAGCAGAGGAGAGCGAAGCACCGAAAGACAACAAGGACGGGGCUCCAGCUGCCGGUGAUGCUAAGGAGAUAGCUAAUGACACGGCAGCCAAGGAGGCGCCAGCAGCUGAUGCCGCGGCACCCAAAGAGGAGGAAAAGAACGCAGCUCCUGCCGCAAAGGAGGCAGAGAAACCUGCCGCCAACGCUGAGCCCAAAACGGAGGCGCCCAAGAGCGCAGAGCCCGCCAAGGCCGAGGAGAAACCAGCCGCCCCUGCCCCGGCCAAAGAAUCGGCCCCGGCCGCGAAGGAAGCCGAGGCUAAGGCCGCGGCACCCACCCCUGCAGCCGAGAGCAAAGAUGAGGCCGACGCCAAAAAGACUGAGGCCCCUGCGGCACCAGCAGCCAAAGCCGAAGCGGCCCCCGCUGCCUCCCCCGACCCCAAGCCUACAGAGGCAGCGGCAGCUCCCGCCCCAGCAAAGGAGGCCACCCCUGCUCCUAGUUCAACACCAGCCGCCGAACCUCCCAAGGAGGCAAACGCCACAGAGGCACCAAGCAAGGAUCAAACCGUAGCAGUUCAAGAUUAAUGGACAGCCACUUUUCGGAAAUGAAGAAAUAAAUUACCUAACUCAACAACGAUGAAGAUUAAAAAAGAAAGAAAGAAAUUUACUAGUCCACCCAUAUUAUGAUAAUAACAAUAAUAAUAAUAAUUGUAAUGAUGAAGAUUUGUUGAUCGAGGAGGACUGAAGCAACCACCUGGAGAAGUUUCCCACCGCUGCAGAUGAUUAUUGCUAUUAUUAUUGUUAUGUUUUAUUCUAUUUUUUUUCUGCCGUAGUAUUUGAACUUUGAUACGAGUGUAUGUCGGCCAUACGCCUCGCCAUUUAUCCGCCAUUCCUCUCGCUCAUACAGUCCCACAAAGUUUGGCCUGAUUCCCACGUCAGCCCACAGAAGGCUCCUGCAUUCGAUCUGUGGACGUCUAAAUUUUGGGGUUCUGAUGGAGGGAAGGGGAGAGGUUAAGAAAACACCUUACCAGCUGGACUCAAGUCGAAUCUGUCCCCUCUUCGGCUCUCCCUCUUCCUCUCAUCCUCCUCGUCAGAAUAUUGUGAUUUUGGCUCUGGCCUGGUACCUCCAGCUUUUCAGUGCUGUGGAGUCGUGGUUGUGGUCGUGCGUGAUUGUGUGUGGUAUUGUCGGGUUGUGUUGCUUCCUAUUUUUCUCUCUAAAAAGAUCCCACUUUCUUUGAAGAGCUUUUACUUGGAGAUUCAUUGUGAGGACUGGGAAUUUUCAGGCUUUCUAAGGCAUUUCGCAAGGUUGGUAAAGGUGGGCUUUGCAGAGAAAAAAACAACAUUAGACAUUAAACAGUUGUAGGAUUUUUCAGAUAAACUUCUACAUUUUGUACUGAAACCCUUAGCUAUAUUGUUAGUAAACUAAGUGGGUUUUUUAACAUUUGUAUUGCUUAGAUAAUCUGCAAAGCCUCGCUGAAAAGAUCUCUAAAAUGUUCUUAGAAAGUUCAAUGCAAGCCUCUCGUCCUCGAGCAAAAUCUGAAGACAAAUUAGAGUAAAAAUUAUCGUAUACGUUUUUUUUGUUUGUUUGAAAAGACAUAUCUUUUGCUGACCUGGGUGAAGUAGACAGUACGGUCACAUCUUAGAGGUUGUUUGAACUUGCUUAAAAUACCAAGAAGGUGAUGUUUGCUCCUUCAUGGGUAGAGCUCAGUUAGUGAAUGCUCAGUUGUGCCUUUGUAACCUAAAUAGACAAGACUGGCACUCAAACAUCCUGUGAUUGUCUGGAAGACAAAUCAUUUCCUUAGCGAAAGUAAAAGGGUGUAAAACUGACUGCAAGACACACUUUCGAUUCAAGUAUUAGCAGCACAAUAUGUUUCUGAAAAAGUCAACAGUGGAUUCUUUUACUUUGAAAUAAAAUUGUUACAUGCUCACAUACAAUCUCCUGACACGGAAAUUUCAACAGUUAAAAAAGACACUAUCCAACUAGUAGAGCCGUUUCAUAUUCAAGUUUAAUGGCCCUACCAGAGCAAACCUUACAGCACUAAAGCAGUCUGCCCUGUUGAGCAAACCUCACCCUUUUGGUAUCAAAGCAGUGAAAAGGCCUUAAGCGAGAGCGCUCACAAUGCUGUUUGACCCAGGUCUGAUUUACUGGGUUUUGAAUCAGUGUAGCUUUCCACCACUAACAGUCUGAUACCACUGAAGAACAGGCAGGAGGCAGGAUUUCAGCAAACGAUCAGAGCCAUCAGCAACCAAUUCAGUGUAAUAUGGUCCAUGUUUCUAAGGCUGGAAGGAAAGGCCUUGCACAUGGAAGGGAGCCUCUGAUUUAGUCAUUAUCGCCAUUCGUGCAUUUUCCUUUACUGUUUGGAAAUAUAGGUUACAUGUAUGUACAUCUGUGCAGUGGUGGAAGGAAAAGUACUAAAGUACACCUUUGAUACAUUAAAAACUAGCAAUAUUGAUAGAUGUCUCCACCCAAAUUUAUUUUUACUGUAAACACCAAGCACACUUUUGAAAACACCCAGCUUCCACCGCUUGAGGAACUUUUUUUAAAAGCCAAAACACUUUGGUGUAAAACCGUAAACAGUGUGAGACUUUGAAAGGAUCAUGAUAUCUUUGGUCAUGGCAGUGGAGUCCUGCAAACAAAAAUAGCUUGGGACUAAACUUCCACAGCAAAACUUUAGGAUUCCAGCAAAGGAGAGACUUAGGUUGAGUUGCGAUGGACGAGGGGAGGACGAUGUAGCAUAGAAGAAAGUAGAAGAGACAUAAAUGGCACGUGAUCCAGUGGGUAUGCCAACAACAGUAUGCAUCAAAUAUGACGUCUUGCCCAAGUGUAUUAGAACCACAUUGCACAGUGUGGCUCAAAUUGCAUGUAUGGAGACCUUUAAGGGUUUUUAGUGGGAGUAAUCUUGCACAGAGAUGGAUGCUUAGAAAGCAGCAGUUGUGGUAUUGACUCCAUUCUUGGUUUUUCAGUCGUGUUCAUCACUUGUGCGAGUAGGACGUGGCGGUUGUUCGGCAUGGUGUUAACUCCACCCAUCCUCCGCUACUAAUGAAUUACCUGGUUAAAAAAGUUAAGGUGACAUUACAGCGUUUUACAGAGCUGAGCAUCCUUAAACUCUCAGCAACCAGCAAAAACCAGCCCAUUCAGAUUCACACAUGUGCAGGUUUACGGUGAUACUGAGACAGUUCUAACUUGCCCCAUGUGGACGUUUAAAGACCCCAUAGCAUCACUUUUAAAUGCACUGGUUAAGUGUAACCCAAAUCUCUGUCUUGUACUUAACCUGUGUGCAUGUGCGUCAUGCUGCUUGUGUCUUUAGCACAGUGCAGUUAUGCAGCACUCUCAGUGCAAACUAGUGAAAAUAGAAUACACCGGCCCAGGAAAGACAAAGGAGGGAUUUUUAUCAUUGAUACUACAGUAGAAACAUUUUGAUGAUUAUCAUAUGAGAUGAAAAAGGAAGAAAUGACAGUGAAAGAAAACCAGCAGGACAGAUGGAAGGAAGAACGUGAAGGACAAGAAAGCUCAGAUUUUAGAUUGUACUUCAUGAUGAACACAGUGGACGAAGUAGUACGACUUUAUUGAGCUAAAUGCUUUUGCACAAAACAGUCAAGUAAGGUACCAGCAACCCAAAAUUGUGCUUGGCUUAUUCAAACCAACAUUCGUCUUUCCACCUUUGCAUGUAUGUAAGUAUAUGUAUAUAUAUAUUUAGUCAUCUCAGCCAUCCAUCUGCCACUUUUCAGUUCCAUCCAUGUGACGUUCAGCGUUUUCCUCCCAGCACUCGUCAAACCGUAGCAGAAACAAACACUCGAGGAGCGCCGCUUGUCACAUGGCUCAGUUUUUUCUUCCUCUCUUGACUCAGUAACUUGCAUGUCCGUGGUUGGGUGAACCUGUAGUCCUGUCUUUUUGGUCAAGUGGAAAAAAUAAUAAUUUUUCAGUCUGCAUCCAUGGCAACUACAGUUGAUAUUUUCAUCCCAUGUUUCAUCACUGCUACUUCCACACCACACGUUCAGACAAACAAACAAAAAGAUGAUAUGGAAAUUGAUGCAUUCAAAAUUAUAUGUACUUGUAUAAAUGGUGGAACAGUAAUAAAAUGUACUAAAUUGACUUGAGGAUUCUGUGCAAUGCAAUUUUUUUCAAAUGCACUCCAGACACAUCAGAGUCACACCUGCCAAUGAGGCUGAUACGUUAUUGUUACAUAGUAGCAUUUGAACAAACAAUUUAAUGCAGCGUUAGGACUAUUGUAGAAGAAGAAAUUAAAAAGUGAAAGUACAUUUGUGAAUGUGAUAAAAAAAAAAAAGGUCAGUUAAGCCAUAUUUCAUUGUUCGACUGACAGAGUAUCUAGUGAUUCUAAACUUAUCUCAAGCUAUCCUCAAGCAAGCUUAGAAAGUAACACUGAUUCUACGUCUUUAGGUUUCAUAGGUUGGAAAUUACAUCAGGUAUCUCUGUGAUACAAUCAGUUUAGUCUGAAGACUUUAUAUGCAUCACAAACAUGCGUUCACUAGAACUUCUCAAGCCUUC